UACGUAGGGCGCAAGCGUUGUCCGGAAUUAUUGGGCGUAAAGAGCUCGUAGGCGGCUUGUCACAUCGGAUGUGAAAGCCCGGGGCUUAACCCCGGGUCUGCAUUCGAUACGGGCAGGCUAGAGUUCGGUAGGGGAGAUCGGAAUUCCUGGUGUAGCGGUGAAAUGACGCAGAUAUCAGGAGGAACACCGGUGGCGAAGGCGGAUCUCUGGGCCGAUACUGACGCUGAGGAGCGAAAGCGUGGGGAGCGAACAGG
rnacentral:rRNA from 1 species